rnacentral:rRNA from 1 species
UGGGGAAUAUUGCACAAUGGGCGAAAGCCUGAUGCAGCAACGCCGCGUGAGUGAUGAAGGUCUUCGGAUUGUAAAGCUCUGUCUUUUGGGACGAUAAUGACGGUACCAAAGGAGGAAGCCACGGCUAACUACGUGCCAGCAGCCGCGGUAAUACGUAGGUGGCGAGCGUUGUCCGGAUUUACUGGGCGUAAAGGGUGCGUAGGCGGAUGUUUAAGUGAGAUGUGAAAUACCCGGGCUUAACUUGGGUGCUGCAUUUCAAACUGGAUAUCUAGAGUGCAGGAGAGGAGAAUGGAAUUCCUAGUGUAGCGGUGAAAUGCGUAGAGAUUAGGAAGAACACCAGUGGCGAAGGCGAUUCUCUGGACUGUAACUGACGCUGAGGCACGAAAGCGUGGGUAGCAAACAGGAUUAGAUACCCUGGUAGUCCACGCCAUAAACGAUGAGUACUAGGUGUAGGAGGUAUCGACCC